rnacentral:rRNA from 1 species
UACAGAGGUGGCAAGCGUUGUUCGGAAUUACUGGGCGUAAAGGGCGCGUAGGCGGCCAUCUAAGUCAGACGUGGAAUCCCCCGGCUUAACCUGGGAACUGCGUCUGAUACUGGACGGCUCGAGUAUGGGAGAGGGAUGUAGAAUUCCAGGUGUAGCGGUGAAAUGCGUAGAUAUCUGGAGGAAUACCGGUGGCGAAGGCGGCAUCCUGGACCAUUUACUGACGCUGAGGCGCGAAAGCUAGGGGAGCAAACGGG